rnacentral:rRNA from 1 species
GGAUUAGAUACCCUGGUAGUCCACGCUGUAAACGAUGUCUACUUGGAGGUUGUUGUCUAGAACAGUGGCUUUCGGAGCAAACGCGUUAAGUAGACCGCCUGGGGAGUACGGUCGCAAGAUUAAAACUCAAAUGAAUUGACGGGGGCCCGCACAAGCGGUGGAGCAUGUGGUUUAAUUCGAUGCAACGCGAAGAACCUUACCUACUCUUGACAUCUACAGAAGCUGGAAGAGAUUUCAGUGUGCCUUCGGGAACUGUAAGACAGGUGCUGCAUGGCUGUCGUCAGCUCGUGCUG